CUCCAGUGUCCCCAGUGCAGCCCCCAGUGUGCCCGCAGUAUUUUCCUUACAUGAUCAGGUGCCAUUGUGGGCAGUGUUGCUUGCCUGGAGCCUGAGAGGAUUAUGAAAAGUGUCAGGCAAAGUGGGGCCAGAGGACCUGGUG
ensembl:scaRNA